GAUGAACGCUAGCUGGAGGCUUAAUACAUGCAAGUCGAGCGGGAUUGGUAGCAAUACCAUGAGAGCGGCGCACGGGUGAGUAACGCGUACACGACCUACCUCUGACAGGGGGAUAGCCCUGGGAAACUGGGAUUAAUACCGCAUAUUAUUCUGAUUAAUAAAGGAUUGGAAUGAAAGUUCAGGCGGUCAGAGAUGGGUGUGCGUCUGAUUAGCUAGUUGGUAGGGUAACGGCCUACCAAGGCGAUGAUCAGUAGGGGGCGUGAGAGCGUGGUCCCCCACACGGGUACUGAGACACGGACCCGACUCCUACGGGAGGCAGCAGUAAGGAAUAUUGGACAAUGGCCGAAAGGCUGAUCCAGCCAUCCAGCGUGCAGGAAGAAGGCCCUAUGGGUUGUAAACUGCUUUUACAGGGAAUAAACCUCUGGAUUCACUCCGGAGCUGAAGGUACCUGAAGAAUAAGCACCGGCUAACUCCGUGCCAGCAGCCG
rnacentral:rRNA from 1 species